CGGAGGUUUGAUUUACCAAUGCGGAGUUUAGCCGCCUCGCUCCAGAUGGGGGCGGCGUACGUGAUGGCAGAUUCGACCACUCCG
rnacentral:miRNA from 1 species